AAUGUCUUGAUUCAGUCAAAUUUUCUAUCUUGUAUCUCCUGAACUCUGAUAUUUUGCUUGCUGGUCUUCAUCGUGCUCUGAAUGCAGUAUCUGGUUUCUCUUACUUUAACCCGCCCAACUUGCACCUGAUUGGCAUGUUAGCCUUUUGAUUCCCUCCCAGUGAGGCGGUGCUUCACAAAGCAAACUGUUUGUCAAACUGUUGAUCUGCCUGAUGGCUGUUUUAGAAGAUAUGGUGACUGAGUUUUAGACAGUACUAGCCAGCUCAUGCAGCUUGUUUUUACUAGAUGGCUGUCCUAAAAGUACAUAUCUUUAAAAUAUGAAUAAAUACGUACAAUUCCAUAAUUAUUCGAUCCAACGGUUAUAGAAGUUUUGUAAUAAUGCAAUUCAGGUAUUUUACAUUUUCUGGACUAAAGGAGGAUUUCAGUUCAACACCUGUGGUUUCUUAAUUUUUUUCCCACUUAGUUCCACUACUGCUGUGGAUUUUAUAGUCAAUGUUUAAAGCCAACAGAGUCUGAAGCGAUGGAGGAAAUUUACGUCAAUAUGGAACCUGUUGGAAAAACUGCAUCUAAUCACACAGGUUGGAGCAGCUCCAAAGAGAGGCUCUGCCUCCGUGC